CACGUAGGGCGCGAGCGUUGUCCGGAAUUAUUGGGCGUAAAGAGCUCGUAGGCGGCCUGUUGCGUCCGCUGUGAAAGCCCGGGGCUUAACCCCGGGUCUGCAGUGGAUACGGGCAGGCUAGAGGUAGGUAGGGGAGAAUGGAAUUCCCGGUGUAGCGGUGAAAUGCGCAGAUAUCGGGAGGAACACCGGUGGCGAAGGCGGUUCUCUGGGCCUUACCUGACGCUGAGGAGCGAAAGCGUG
rnacentral:rRNA from 1 species